GACGAACGCUGGCGGCGUGCCUAAUACAUGCAAGUUGAGCGCUGAAGGUUGGUCCUUGUACCAACUGGCUGAGCAGCGAACGGGUGAGUAACGCGUGGGGAAUCUGCCUUUGAGCGGGGGACAACAUUUGGAAACGAAUGCUAAUACCGCAUAAAAACUUUAAACACAAGUUUUAAGUUUGAAAGAUGCAAUUGCAUCACUCAAAGAUGAUCCCGCGUUGUAUUAGCUAGUUGGUGAGGUAAAGGCUCACCAAGGCGAUGAUACAUAGCCGACCUGAGAGGGUGAGCGGCCACAUUGGGACGGAGACACGGCCCAAACUCCUACAGAAGGCAGCAGUAGGGCAUCUUCGGCAAUGGACGAAAGUCUGACCGAGCUACGCCGCGUGAGUGAAGAAGGUUGUCGGAUCGGAAAACACUGUUGGUAGAGAAGAACGUUGGUGAGAGUGGAAAGCUCAUCAAGUGACGGUAACUACCCAGAAAGGGACGGCUAACUACGGG
rnacentral:rRNA from 1 species